rnacentral:rRNA from 1 species
UACGUAGGGGGCAAGCGUUGUCCGGAAUUACUGGGCGUAAAGCGUGCGCAGGCGGUUUUGUAAGCCAGAUGUGAAAUCCCCGGGCUUAACCUGGGAAUGGCAUUUGGGACUGCAAGGCUGGAGUGUGGCAGAGGAGACUGGAAUUCCUGGUGUAGCAGUGAAAUGCGUAGAUAUCAGGAGGAAUACCGAUGGCGAAGGCAGCCCCCUGGGCUAGCACUGACGCUCAGGCACGAAAGCGUGGGGAGCAAACAGG